GGAGAAGAGAGCAGUUAAUCAUGAAAAAGCAUAACCAAAGCUAGAAUAAUAUCACGUAGCAGGACUAGAAGUCCUAGAGAUGUUGCAUUAAUCAAUAAACCAAAAGGUAUGUAAACAACAUAGCAAAAGAUGAAAAUAUUCUUCAUCAGUCAUUAGAUUCGUCAGCUCAUAGUCAUCUGAAGAGGACACACACACAAAACAUAUGUAUAUAUAUGACAGCAAAACAACAAAACAUCAAAUAUUAAUCAUCAAAACAAUAAAAAAAAACUUAAUACCGCUUUUAGUCCCUAGUUUGGGAGGUUUUGUUCAAUAUGGUCCUACCUUUUUUUAGUAACAAUUGAUCUCACUUUUUGAAAAAACUGUUCAAUUGACUCCUUUUUGGUUACGACGUCAAUUUUCUAACGGUGUUGGUUACCACGUCAAUAAGUUCUUUCAUGCAUUCACCUAUCCAAAUAUUAUUUUAACAGUCCUGACAUAAUGUUAUGUUAAAAAUCAUGUCAUCAUCGUAUAUAAUAAGAACUAUAAUAAACAAUUUAAACUUGAAUAUGGGACCACUAUGAACAAAAAGGACUCAAUUGAACAGUUUUUUCAGAAAGUGGAUCAAUUGUUAUGAAAAAAAAAAAAAAGAUAGGACCAUAUUGAACAAAGCCUCCCAAACUAGGGACGGUAUUAAACCUAAAAAAAAAUGUAAAUUUCGUGUUGAACUAGGAUGUGUUUUCUCCAAAAAUACCAUCUAAAGUAAAUUCUUCCACAUAGUUCACAUGUUACUUCUUCAAUUCCAGGCACUAAACUUGCUAUAACUGUCAACUUUCACCAUUCUUACGGCUACGAUACAAUUACGUUACUUUUCUGAAAGAGCCAAGCACUAACCCUCGAAUCCAAAGAAUGUAAUGAAUAUAACAAAUCACAUAACAUACAAGCGAUGCCCAGAACAAAUAAUAACCAAGUGUAGCAAACGUUUUCAAGAGCUCCA
rnacentral:lncRNA from 1 species